GAUGAAGAACGUAGCGAAAUGCGAUAAGUAAUGUGAAUUGCAGAAUUCAGUGAAUCAUCGAAUCUUUGAACGCACAUUGCGCCCGCCAGUAUUCUGGCGGGCAUGCCUGUUCGAGCGUCAUUUCAACCCUCAAGCCCCAGUGGCCUGGUGUUGGGGACCGGCGACCUCGCCCGGGGACACCUCGCGUGCCCCGCCGGUGCGUCCGCCGCCCCCGAAAUGAAUUGGCGGCCCCGUCGCGGCCUCCUCUGCGUAGUAGUACAACCUCGCAGCGGGAGCGCGACGCGGCCACUGCCGUAAAACGCCCAACUUUUUUAGAGUUGACCUCGGAUCAGGUAGGAAUACCCGCUGAACUUAAGCAUAUCAAUAAGCGGAGGA
rnacentral:misc_RNA from 1 species